rnacentral:rRNA from 1 species
CCCUUAGAUGUCCUGGGCCGCACGCGCGUUACACUGAUGCAUUCAACGAGCUUAUAACCUUGGCCGAGAGGCCUGGGCAAUCUUGUUAGCGUGCAUCGUGAUAGGGAUAGAUUAUUGAAAUUAUUAAUCUUGAACGAGGAAUUCCUAGUAAACGCAGAUCAUCAAUCUGCAUUGAUUACGUCCCUGCCCUUUGUACACACCGCCCGUCGCACCUACCGAUUGGAUGGUCCGGUGAAGCCUCGGGAUUGUGGUUCUUGCCGCUUUAUUGUGGCGUGACCGCGAGAACUUGUCUAAACCUUAUCAUCUAGAGGAAGGUGAAGUCGUAACA